CUGUGCUUCAGUUUGGAUUCAUUUUAUUGUUAUGUCUGCACAGUCUGAUUUGUUCUUUAUCCCAUCCUGUGAAUUUUUUAUUUCAUUUACCAUGUCUUUCAUCUUUAGACAUUUCAUUUGGUUCUUUUCUGUACUUUUCAUUUCUCUCCUCAUUAUUUCCUGGUUUCUUUUUAAAUCCCUGAGCAUAUUUAUUAUAGCUUUUUAAACUUCCUUGUCUGCUAGUCUACCCUCUCUCACAUUUCUUGAUCUGUUUCUAUCAAUUGAGGCCUCUUCUGGCUAUGUUAUAUAAUGUUCUGCUUUGCAUAUGUAGCAAUUUUUUAUUGUGUGCUAGACAACAUGAGGUUACACUGAGGUUACAUACAUCUGCAAUUUGAUGUCUUGCUUCAAAGAAUGUUGUGCUUUAUUCUAGUAGGCAACUAACUUACUUGAAGAUUAGUUUGAUCCAUUUAAUUCCUGUUUUAAGCACUUUUAUGGCAUGUCUAGAGUUGUCUUCAUUCCAAGCAUACCUUGUUCUCUUCACCCAGAUAUGACCUUUUCCGGGUUUUCUACUGAAUGCUUCAUUGAUGACUGAAGAAUCUUUACACUGGUGUGGCCUUGUGUCUGUGGAUAAGUGUUGACCAACGGAAUGUAAGUAAAGUGAAGAACAAUCAAAUAAAUGUUCUCAAAGGGAGAGGGCUUCUUUUCCCUUGUCUGCUAACUCAAAUAUGGAUCAGCUGACUGAAGCUGGAGCAGUUGCACUGGACCACUUAUUGAGGGUAGCAGAGCAAAAAGGAAGACAGAUCUCUGAGAAUCAUGGAGUUUUCACACCAGGAACCUACAUGAAGGAGAAAUAAACUAUCAUGUUUAUAAGCCACUGUUAUUUUGGGUUUUUCUAUAAAUUAUAGCUGAAACUACCCCUAUCUUUAUAGAGUUAUUUUCCAAAAUUUCAAAUAUUACCCAAAAAAUGCUUCAACAAAAAAUGACAUCUUUAAAGAAAUGUAUUUGUGUACAUGUUAUAAGCAUUAUUUUUUGGAUAGAUUCCUAGGAGUGAAAGUCUUGAGUAAAUGAUGUGUUAUUUUUAUUUUGAAAGAUACUUUCUACUUGCCUUGUAAAAAUGCUUUAUCAAGUUUCACAAAAAGAGUAUGAGAGGAAUUGUUUUCCUGUAUCCUCUAUACAGAUUUUUACUGAUUUUUAAAUUUAUUAUAUUUGAAUAGAUAAUCUUAUGUACAUAUCUGUAUUACGAGUAAGUCUAGGAAUCCUUUUUUCACACAUCUGUUUUGGCCAACUGUUUUCUUCUGUCUUUUGACAAACUUUCUAUAAAUUCUUUAGUUUUUCUGGCUGAUAUGUUUACAUAUUCUGGAUAUUAAUUAUUUUUAGUUGUAUGUUUGGCAAGUUUUUUUUCCAGACUGCUGGUUAUUGUGUAACUUACUUAUGAUGGCUUUAAUUAAAGAAGUAUUUAUAUUUCAGCAUAAGUGCCAACAUCUUCCUUCUGGAUUUUGCUUCUUAGCUAGAAACCUCUAGAGGUCAUAACAUUAUUUUUCUAUAUUUCUUCCAACAUACUCUUUCAAUUAAAAAUUAUUUCACUUUUUAAUGCAUCUGGAAUAUAUUUAUGCAAGAUAGGAAUUAGAGGUCUAAUAUUUAAUUAUUUUAAAUGAAUAACCAGUUUUCCCAGUGCCAUAUGUUUAAUAAUACUUCUACAUUUCACUGAUUUGAAAUGCAAGUUUAAUUAUAGUCAAAUUUUUGAAUAGGCAAAGAUGUGUUUCUUCGUUUCUGUGUUUUAUUAAUCAUCUGUUUCUAUGCCAAUGCCAUCCUUUGUGAACUCCUACAAUUUUGUAACACAUUUAGAUAUCUAGAUGGCAAAUCUUCUUUUCCAAAAGCAUUUGGAUAUUCUCAUUCAUAUACACUUCCAAAUGAACUUUGAAACAAAUUUUUAUCUGCCCAGCUGAAGGAAGAUUUUUAAAAUAUUGUAGCCAUUCCAUAAUUUUUAGAAGUCAAUAAGUGCUUUUAAAAAUGUGGAUGUUAACUAUGAUAUUAAUAUUUGAAUAAAAAUAUAGCUAGCCAAUUGGAAAGUAUUUUAGAAUAAAGAAGUUAUAUAAAUGCAUAUAUUAUUGAUACGUUUAUGCAACCAAAUGCCUAUAUCACCUACAGGUUAUCAAUCUAUGAAAAUAAUUCCUCAAAAUUUUUUAGUUUAUUAUUCCAAAGAAAAGCAAAUCAUCUUUCCCCCACAACUUGGCUGGAUCCAUAUUUAGACAAAGAAUUAACACAACCUCAAUUCUCUUUUCUUUUCUGUUAUUUUCUCUUUUUUUGAGACAAGGUCUGUUGCUCUGUUGCCCAGGCUGGAAUACAAUGGUGCAAUCAUAGCUCACUACAGCCUCAGCCUCCUGGGCUCAAGUGAUGCUCCUACCUGAGACUUUCGGGUAGCUGGAACUACAGGUGUGUGACAACAAGCCUGGCUAAUUUUUUCAAUUGUUUGUAGGGAUGGGUGUCUCAUUAUGUUGCCCAGGCUGGUCUCAAACUCCUGGCUUCAAGUGAUCCUCCCUCCUCAGCAUGCCAAACUGCUGAGAUUAUAGGCAUGAGCCACUGUGUCUGGCUCCCAAUUCUCUUUUCUAUAUGUCCAGAUGUUUUAGUGUAUAUUGACUGAGAUUAGCAAAUAUCAAUGUUCUCAGUUACCUUUAGAUUGAUGAGAAACUGGAAGAAACUGAAAUUUCUGGGCUUUUUUCUAACUUUUUUCAGUGAAUAUAUUGGCAUUGUAAAACAAUAAGCUACUGGUACUGUAAUCUAAUAGUUAUUAUGUGGACAGAAAACCUGUGACCUUAAAUUCAUGUUGUACUAAUAAGAGAAGUGUGUAG
rnacentral:lncRNA from 10 species